rnacentral:rRNA from 1 species
ACUGAAUCCAUAGGUUAAUGAGGCGAACCGGGGGAACUGAAACAUCUAAGUACCCCGAGGAAAAGAAAUCAACCGAGAUUCCCCCAGUAGCGGCGAGCGAACGGGGAGCAGCCCAGAGCCUGAAUCAGUGUGUGUGUUAGUGGAAGCGUCUGGAAAGGCGCGCGAUACAGGGUGACAGCCCCGUACACAAAAAUGCACAUGCUGUGAGCUCGAUGAGUAGGGCGGGACACGUGGUAUCCUGUCUGAAUAUGGGGGGACCAUCCUCCAAGGCUAAAUACUCCUGACUGACCGAUAGUGAACCAGUACCGUGAGGGAAAGGCGAAAAGAACCCCGGCGAGGGGAGUGAAAAAGAACCUGAAACCGUGUACGUACAAGCAGUGGGAGCACAGAGCAAUCUGUGUGACUGCGUACCUUUUGUAUAAUGGGUCAGCGACUUAUAUUCUGUAGCAAGGUUAACCGAAUAGGGGAGCCGAAGGGAAACCGAGUCUUAACUGGGCGUUAAGUUGCAGGGUAUAGACCCGAAACCCGGUGAUCUAGCCAUGGGCAGGUUGAAGGUUGGGUAACACUAACUGGAGGACCGAACCGACUAAUGUUGAAAAAUUAGCGGAUGACUUGUGGCUGGGGGUGAAAGGCCAAUCAAACCGGGAGAUAGCUGGUUCUCCCCGAAAGCUAUUUAGGUAGCGCCUCGUGAAUUCAUCUCCGGGGGUAGAGCACUGUUUCGGCAAGGGGGUCAUCCCGACUUACCAACCCGAUGCAAACUGCGAAUACCGGAGAAUGUUAUCACGGGAGACACACGGCGGGUGCUAACGUCCGUCGUGAAGAGGGAAACAACCCAGACCGCCAGCUAAGGUCCCAAAGUCAUGGUUAAGUGGGAAACGAUGUGGGAAGGCCCAGACAGCCAGGAUGUUGGCUUAGAAGCAGCCAUCAUUUAAAGAAAGCGUAAUAGCUCACUGGUCGAGUCGGCCUGCGCGGAAGAUGUAACGGGGCUAAACCAUGCACCGAAGCUGCGGCAGCGACGCUGAUGCGUUGUUGGGUAGGGGAGCGUUCUGUAAGCCUGCGAAGGUGUGCUGUGAGGCAUGCUGGAGGUAUCAGAAGUGCGAAUGCUGACAUAAGUAACGAUAAAGCGGGUGAAAAGCCCGCUCGCCGGAAGACCAAGGGUUCCUGUCCAACGUUAAUCGGGGCAGGGUGAGUCGACCCCUAAGGCGAGGCCGAAAGGCGUAGUCGAUGGGAAACAGGUUAAUAUUCCUGUACUUGGUGUUACUGCGAAGGGGGGACGGAGAAGGCUAUGUUGGCCGGGCGACGGUUGUCCCGGUUUAAGCGUGUAGGCUGGUUUUCCAGGCAAAUCCGGAAAAUCAAGGCUGAGGCGUGAUGACGAGGCACUACGGUGCUGAAGCAACAAAUGCCCUGCUUCCAGGAAAAGCCUCUAAGCAUCAGGUAACAUCAAAUCGUACCCCAAACCGACACAGGUGGUCAGGUAGAGAAUACCAAGGCGCUUGAGAGAACUCGGGUGAAGGAACUAGGCAAAAUGGUGCCGUAACUUCGGGAGAAGGCACGCUGAUAUGUAGGUGAAGUCCCUCGCGGAUGGAGCUGAAAUCAGUCGAAGAUACCAGCUGGCUGCAACUGUUUAUUAAAAACACAGCACUGUGCAAACACGAAAGUGGACGUAUACGGUGUGACGCCUGCCCGGUGCCGGAAGGUUAAUUGAUGGGGUUAGCGCAAGCGAAGCUCUUGAUCGAAGCCCCGGUAAACGGCGGCCGUAACUAUAACGGUCCUAAGGUAGCGAAAUUCCUUGUCGGGUAAGUUCCGACCUGCACGAAUGGCGUAAUGAUGGCCAGGCUGUCUCCACCCGAGACUCAGUGAAAUUGAACUCGCUGUGAAGAUGCAGUGUACCCGCGGCAAGACGGAAAGACCCCGUGAACCUUUACUAUAGCUUGACACUGAACAUUGAGCCUUGAUGUGUAGGAUAGGUGGGAGGCUUUGAAGUGUGGACGCCAGUCUGCAUGGAGCCGACCUUGAAAUACCACCCUU